rnacentral:miRNA from 1 species
CAGUGAUGAGUCAAAUACACCA